UUUGACCUCGGAUCAGGUAGGGAUACCCGCUGAACUUAAGCAUAUCAAUAAGCGGAGGAAA
rnacentral:rRNA from 1 species